GAGGGAUCAUUACCGAGUUUACAACUCCCAAACCCCCUGUGAACAUACCACUUGUUGCCUCGGCGGAUCAGCCCGCUCCCGGUAAAACGGGACGGCCCGCCAGAGGACCCCUAAACUCUGUUUCUAUAUGUAACUUCUGAGUAAAACCAUAAAUAAAUCAAAACUUUCAACAACGGAUCUCUUGGUUCUGGCAUCGAUGAAGAACGCAGCAAAAUGCGAUAAGUAAUGUGAAUUGCAGAAUUCAGUGAAUCAUCGAAUCUUUGAACGCACAUUGCGCCCGCCAGUAUUCUGGCGGGCAUGCCUGUUCGAGCGUCAUUUCAACCCUCAAGCACAGCUUGGUGUUGGGACUCGCGUUAAUUCGCGUUCCCCAAAUUGAUUGGCGGUCACGUCGAGCUUCCAUAGCGUAGUAGUAAAACCCUCGUUACUGGUAAUCGUCGCGGCCACGCCGUUAAACCCCAACUUCUGAAUGUUGACCUCGGAUCAGGUAGGAAUACCCGCUGAACUUAAGCAUAU
rnacentral:misc_RNA from 1 species